GCGAGGUGAGCGCAACUCAUGGUAGUCUUUGCCAUCAAAGAAAAUAUCAACAGCAUCCAAAGAGUCAGGGAGGUCACCACCUUUGACGAGUAUAUUCCGGGGACCUAUAGCAUGCAAAAGUUUUGCAGCAGAGCACAUGUCAGCAACUGUUUCAAGUGGCAUCCCACCAAGUAAAGCUGAUGCCUCUUUUAUAUUUGGAGUUACUAUGUCAGCCAAGGGAAGGAGCUCCUCUCGAAAACUAGAAAGAAUGGAGGGACCAGCCAGCACAUCUCCACUUGUAGAUACCAUGACAGGAUCCACCAC
rnacentral:misc_RNA from 1 species